UUAAGGAUGGAACAGCUGGCUCUCAGUAACGACGAACGGCUUGGUACAUUUUGUUUUCUCAACGGCGAAAGAAGCGGGCCACUCUCUUUUCUUCCGAAACGACUUAAAAAUGAAACCUUUCGCGAUCUCUUGUCUUCCUUCCCCCCCCCCCCCGCUCCCGUAUCCUUUAGUACGCGAACAAGCCUCGCUCCGGACUUCCAUUAACUCCGUAAUUUCGGUUUUCACCGAACCGCAGACCUACCUAGCGCGCCCCGUUGUAUCUCGAUGUUUCACAGAGCGAGCGCGCACACGAGCGCCCACCUAUCUACCUAUCCAGCUUUCGUCUAAGUGCACCGUUACGCUCGGAGCAAAAGUUGUGGGAUGCUCGAAACACGAGAUACCGCACAAAGCCCUUAGGUGGCCAGGUGGGCACCGACGUUUUCGGGUGAAGCGUCGCGUAAAGUAGUGGUAAAAGAGUUGCGGGAACGUAAAAGUCGUCGUGACCCACGUCCACUCCGUAUCCGGAAACUUUAGUUUCACUGAGAAGACCGAAACGACCGUCUUUCGCUAAAUUGCGCCUCGAAAGAAUUUCAACAGCAGUAUUUCUCAAUAGCCUCCUAUCACCCGUAUAAAUAGCGGCUUACACCGAGACGAAAGAGAAUCGAAUCCCUUUAAACUCACGAUCAGUCUGUCCGUUUCGGCUUCUCUCGCGAUGAUUUUUACGCGGACGAGUGCUCUGAAAUUUUACAUGCCGAUUUAUUAAACGUUUGUUACUUCGUACGUUUUUAUAUUUAUUUAUACAUUUAUCCUCGCGGUGCUAACCUGUCUUCCUCAACUCUAGUUGUCACGUGCACACACACACACACACCUCGGGUAUGCGAGGAAAGAACACGAUAUUAAACGGUCUGAGUGGGCUUUCCAAUCGGAUUUCGGUGAACGACCAAACCAUUCUCAUUAAUCCUUGCGAAAGCCCCAAUCCGUAAGAACAAUGGUCAUCCAUCCCAGACGGUCUCAUGGAGAACAAACAAAUGUACGGGUAAUCGGGAAUAACGGGCCUUUGUAUUUCGUAAUUGAACGUCGUCUUCCGCUCAAGUUUUCGACGGUGCCAUCUUGAUGAAAAUUAGACGGGCCGGGAAAAACCGCCGUGUUUUAUAGCGUUCUCGGCUAUUGUUCGUGAACGUAAAGCUGUAUGCAGCUUUCGACCUGCACGCGUCGAGUUUUCUCUUUUGGUGUGCGUUGUAUCUCGCCUCUCUCUUUUUAUUUCGAAAACAAUGCCCGUUUGUUACAACGACAACGCGAGCAACAAAAUACGGCUUUGAUACCGACGACACAAUAUCGGCUCGUUAUCGAUAUCACGCAGCAUAAUUAAUUAAUAAUUCUCUCGAUAUUACCGCGUAAUAAUGAUUUAAAACGAACGCGCACAAUAGAAUGCUUUAACAAUCAGUGAUGCGUCAUUACGAUUAUAAACAUAUUAAUGAAGCAAAGCGUUAACGCGGGAUUACCGGCUCGCGGCGCGUAGGGACGCGCGGAAUGCCCGUGCGGAGUUCAUGCGUGGGCGCGGUUACGCGCGUGGUACGUAUACAUACAAUAUAUACGCGUGUUUAUAAAAUAAAUAAUAUUUUUGAUGCAUAUAUACGAAUGUAUUCGCGCGUGUAGACAAACUCGCGCCGCGCCGCACGCGCUGCGUAAUCGCAAAAAUCAAUAUUAUCGCCGCGGAUUCGCGGGUCGCGCCUCACCUCCAGCGCCGCGCCUCGGCAUCGCUCCAGCAGCGGCCGAAAUCGUGUUUCCUCUCUCCCUCUCUCUUUCUCUCGUCGUGCUCUUCGAGUCGUAUAAAUUUGUCAACCGAUGACCGGCUCGCAGCCAUUUUACUCUUAUCCGAAGAUUUAGCUUCCUUCGAACGGACCGGCUGCGGUAAUAGCGGUUCGCGAGAUUUAUUAGCGGAUUCAUGGGCGGGACGUUAAUUCGUGCCGAAGAGCUCGAGAGCGGUCGGGGAAAUGGCGAGGACGAGAAAGAAGAACGAGAAGACGGGAAACGGGUGCAAUCGGUGCAAGUGAUGGGAGGCCACGAGAGAAUGGGGGAGGAGAGCUGCGCGGGAACAGAGAGAAUCACCGAAGCUGCACUGCACGCAUAAAGCAGACCGAUGAGAGGCGGACAUCGCGCGCGGAUGUGCCUUUUUGCGUGGCAACGCAAACGCUGCCUCUCUCUUUCUCUCUCUCUCUCUUUUUUCCUCCGGCUUUAAUCCCCGCACCGGUUGUAAUUUGAUCCGCCUUUGUAACGACCGCUUGCCGCCCGCGCCGCGCCGCGCGCAUCCGUUCGCUUCCGCUUUGGGCGCGGAAAAACGUCGCGCACGCGGGUGACCGCCGCAAAGCGUAGGCGGAAUAAUGACGGUUAAUGAAAAUAUAAAAGGGCUAACGCGACCGAUGGUGCGCGCCAGUGUUGGAUCGAGCCGCGACGCGAAGUAGCGAAAAAGCGGCGGGAAAUAACGGCGGCGAUUAAUCGCCGCGUCUAAUGCGCUUUGAUCGAUCCACUUUGUCAUUCCUCUCUCGCGUUUUCGUUCGAGAUACGUGAAAAUGGGUACGUCGUUGAGGUAGUUGGGGACCAUUUGCACCGCCGCUUUAUCGAUAUCGAGAGUGACGAUAUCUUCCGUUAUCGUAACGAAAAAAUGAAUUGGAUCAUAAACGUACGAUGGCACGAUAAUUGUACGCGAGUCGCCGGAUAAUAAAUCACCAGCCGGAAAAAAAAAGUCUCGAAACUGUAAUCUUGUACGCUCAGAUGGCAAUUAUUGAAGAAAAACGUCAUGUGGUUUACUAAUGGACGGUAGCAUGCACGGUUGACGUUCAAUUCGUCGAGACUUUUUCAUUUUUCCUUCCUCGCAUCGGGAAGCAUGAAAGUGACAAGUACCUGGUAGGCAGCGAAAAAGGUGACUAUCCCAUAAACCAUCGUCAAGACACGUGAUCUCUCUGUAAGCCGGAUCGUUCGUUAAAGGUAAUUUAUAAGAUGGUUUACAAGCGAGUUCAGCCCGCGUACCAGGCAGUAUACGCUCGCUACAGGACACCGUUUUCCCCUGGUAGCUGCAAGAAAUGUCUACGCUGGUGCUGUUCAACGGCGGGCAGAUUUCUACGAGAGAUAAUCAACGCUUGGAGAAGGUAAACAAUAAAUUUUAUAUUAUUAUUACGACGCGUCAUUAAAUAAGAAGAAUGUUGUUUCUAGCAGAGGUCUUAAGUGUCGUCCGACACUUGCGAAGGUAAAUGUACACUGUCAAAAUAAACUUACUGAGGCAUGAAGGCGGCUGGUACCACUCGUUGUCGG